UACAGAGGUCCCAAGCGUUGUUCGGAUUCAUUGGGCGUAAAGGGUGCGUAGGCGGCGCGGUAAGUCGGGUGUGAAAUCUCGGAGCUUAACUCCGAAACUGCAUUCGAUACUGCCGUGCUUGAGGACUGGAGAGGAGACUGGAAUUUACGGUGUAGCGGUGAAAUGCGUAGAUAAUCGUAAGGAAGACCAGUGGCGAAGGCGGGUCUCUGGACAGUUCCUGACGCUGAGGCACGAAGGCCAGGGGAGCAAACGGG
rnacentral:rRNA from 1 species